GAUGAACGCUGGCGGCGUGCUUAACACAUGCAAGUCGAACGAAGCACUUUAUUUGAUUUCCUUCGGGACUGAUUAUUUUGUGACUGAGUGGCGGACGGGUGAGUAACGCGUGGGUAACCUGCCUUGUACAGGGGGAUAACAGUUGGAAACGGCUGCUAAUACCUCAUAAGCGCACAGCCUCUCAUGAUGCAGUGUGAAAAACUCCGGUGGUAUAAGAUGGACCCGCGUUGGAUUAGCUAGUUGGUGAGGUAACGGCCCACCAAGGCGACGAUCCAUAGCCGACCUGAGAGGGUGACCGGCCACAUUGGGACUGAGACACGGCCCAAACUCCUACGGGAAGCAGCAGUGGGGAAUAUUGCACAAUGGGCGAAAGCCUGAUGCAGCGACGCCGCGUGAGCGAAGAAGUAUUUCGGUAUGUAAAGCUCUAUCAGCAGGGAAGAUAAUGACGGUACCUGACUAAGAAGCACCGGCUAAAUACGUG
rnacentral:rRNA from 1 species